rnacentral:tRNA from 1 species
GGGGUUGUGGCUCAGCGGUAGAGCACUUGCCUAGCAAGUAUGAGGCCCUGGGUUCGAUCCUCAGCACCACA